UAAAAUGAAGUAAAAUUCAGCUCUUGCUCAAUGUAAGAGCUGAUUAACACGAUUAGCACAUAAACCCUGCAUGUUAUGGUGCAUUGUGGGAAACGGGCAGAUUUCA